rnacentral:rRNA from 1 species
GAUGAACGCUGGCGGCGUGCCUAAUACAUGCAAGUCGAGCGAACAGACGAGGAGCUUGCUCCUCUGACGUUAGCGGCGGACGGGUGAGUAACACGUGGAUAACCUACCUAUAAGACUGGGAUAACUUCGGGAAACCGGAGCAAAUACCGGAUAAUAUAUUGAACCGCAUGGUUCAAUAGUGAAAGACGGUUUUGCUGUCACUUAUAGAUGGAUCCGCGCCGCAUUAGCUAGUUGGUAAGGUAACGGCUUACCAAGGCGACGAUGCGUAGCCGACCUGAGAGGGUGAUCGGCCACACUGGAACUGAGACACGGUCCAGACUCCUACGGGAGGCAGCAGUAGGGAAUCUUCCGCAAUGGGCGAAAGCCUGACGGAGCAACGCCGCGUGAGUGAUGAAGGUCUUCGGAUCGUAAAACUCUGUUAUUAGGGAAGAACAAAUGUGUAAGUAACUAUGCACGUCUUGACGGUACCUAAUCAGAAAGCCACGGCUAACUACGUG